rnacentral:tRNA from 1 species
GGAGGCUUAGCUCAGCCGGUUAGAGCGCAUGCUUCACACGCAUGAGGUCGACGGUUCGAUCCCGCCAGUCUCCACCA